GUUAGUUCCUACUGUUCAUCUC
rnacentral:miRNA from 1 species